UCCCUGAUGUUAGCGGCGGACGGGUGAGUAACACGUGGGUAACCUGCCUGUAAGACUGGGAUAACUCCGGGAAACCGGGGCUAAUACCGGAUGGUUGUCUGAACCGCAUGGUUCAGACAUAAAAGGUGGCUUCGGCUACCACUUACAGAUGGACCCGCGGCGCAUUAGCUAGUUGGUGAGGUAACGGCUCACCAAGGCGACGAUGCGUAGCCGACCUGAGAGGGUGAUCGGCCACACUGGGACUGAGACACGGCCCAGACUCCUACGGGAGGCAGCAGUAGGGAAUCUUCCGCAAUGGACGAAAGUCUGACGGAGCAACGCCGCGUGAGUGAUGAAGGUUUUCGGAUCGUAAAGCUCUGUUGUUAGGGAAGAACAAGUGCCGUUCAAAUAGGGCGGCACCUUGACGGUACCUAACCAGAAAGCCACGGCUAACUACGUGCCAGCAGCCGCGGUAAUACGUAGGUGGCAAGCGUUGUCCGGAAUUAUUGGGCGUAAAGGGCUCGCAGGCGGUUUCUUAAGUCUGAUGUGAAAGCCCCCGGCUCAACCGGGGAGGGUCAUUGGAAACUGGGGAACUUGAGUGCAGAAGAGGAGAGUGGAAUUCCACGUGUAGCGGUGAAAUG
rnacentral:rRNA from 1 species